AGCUCGUGUCGUGAGACGUCCACUUAAGUGUGGUAACGAGCGCAACCCUUGUCGUAUGUUAUACGUAUCAUACGAGACUGCCUCUGCUUAGCAGGGGAGGAAGGAGAGGACGAUGUCAAGUCAGCAUGUCCCUUACAUCUGGGGCUACACACAUCCUACAAUGGAGCCGACAACGGGUAGCGACGGGGUGACCCCGAGCCAAUCCUAUAAACGGCCCCUCAGUUCGGAUUGAAGGCUGCAAUUUGCCUUCAUGAAGUCGGAAUCGGUAGUAAUCGCAAAUCAGCAGGUUGCGGUGAAUACGUUCUCGCUCCUUGUACACACUGCCCGUCAAGCCAGCAAAGUCAGCAGCGCCCGAAGCGGGUGUCCAUAACUCCGCAUUUAUGCGGAGAGUGGCCCUUCUACGGCGAGGUUGGCGAUGAGGACUAAGUCGUAACAAGGUAUCCGUACUGGAAGGUGCGGAUGGAUCACCUCCUUUCUAAGGAG
rnacentral:rRNA from 1 species